rnacentral:rRNA from 1 species
AUUGAACGCUAGCGGGAUGCUUUACACAUGCAAGUCGAACGGCAGCGCGGACUUCGGUCUGGCGGCGAGUGGCGAACGGGUGAGUAAUGUAUCGGAACGUGCCCAGUAGCGGGGGAUAACUACGCGAAAGCGUAGCUAAUACCGCAUACGCCCUACGGGGGAAAGGGGGGGAUCGCAAGACCUCUCACUAUUGGAGCGGCCGAUAUCGGAUUAGCUAGUUGGUGGGGUAAAGGCUCACCAAGGCGACGAUCCGUAGCUGGUUUGAGAGGACGACCAGCCACACUGGGACUGAGACACGGCCCAGACUCCUACGGGAGGCAGCAGUGGGGAAUUUUGGACAAUGGGGGCAACCCUGAUCCAGCCAUCCCGCGUGUGCGAUGAAGGCCUUCGGGUUGUAAAGCACUUUUGGCAGGGAAGAAAAGUUUCGGGCUACUACCCUGGAGCGAUGACGGUACCUGCAGAAUAAGCACCGGCUAACUACGUGCCAGCAGCCGCCGUAA